AACGAACGCUGGCGGCAUGCCUAACACAUGCAAGUCGAACGAUCCCUUCGGGGAUAGUGGCGCACGGGUGCGUAACGCGUGGGAACCUGCCCUUGGGUUCGGAAUAACAGUUAGAAAUGACUGCUAAUACCGGAUGAAGUCUUCGGACCAAAGAUUUAUCGCCCAGGGAUGAGCCCGCGUAGGAUUAGGUAGUUGGUGAGGUAAAGGCUCACCAAGCCGACGAUCCUUAGCUGGUCUGAGAGGAUGAUCAGCCACACUGGGACUGAGACACGGCCCAGACUCCUAAGUGAGGCAGCAGUGGGGAAUAUUGGACAAUGGGCGCAAGCCUGAUCCAGCAAUGCCGCGUUAGUGAUGAAGGCCUUCGGGUCGUAAAGCUCUUUUACCCGGGAUGAUAAUGACAGUACCGGGAGAGGAAGCCCCGGCUAACUCCGUGCCAGCCGCCGCAGUAA
rnacentral:rRNA from 1 species